rnacentral:rRNA from 1 species
CCAAGGAGUCUAACAUGUGCGCGAGUCACUCGGUCUUGAUUAGGCCAGAGAGGCGCAAUGAAAGUAAAGUUUGUUAAGUUACGAUCCCCAUGCGGUCAUUCCUUGUGGGUGACGGUGGGGCGCAGUAACAGCCCGCCAAUUUCGCCUAUUGACGAUCUGGCGGAGUUGUAGCGUACACGUUGGUACCCGAAAGAUGGUGAACUAUGCCUGGGCAAGACGAAGCCAGAGGAAACUCUGGUGGAGGUCUGUAGCGAUUCUGACGUGCAAAUCGAUCGUCAGACCUGGGUAUAGGGGCGAAACACUAAUCGAACCAUC